GCCCCCGUAGCUCAGCUGGACAGAGCACCGGACUUCUAAUCCGAUGGUCGCAGGUUCGAAUCCUGCCGGGGGCG
rnacentral:tRNA from 1 species